rnacentral:rRNA from 1 species
GAUCCUGGCUCGGGAUGAACGCUGGCGGCGUGCUUAACACAUGCAAGUCGAACGGGGAUUAUUUCAUUGAAGCUUCGGCAGAUUUGGCUUAAUCCUAGUGGCGGACGGGUGAGUAACGCGUGGGUAACCUGCCUUGUACAGGGGGAUAACAGUCAGAAAUGACUGCUAAUACCGCAUAAGCGCACAGGACCGCAUGGUCCGGUGUGAAAAACUCCGGUGGUAUAAGAUGGACCCGCGUUGGAUUAGCUUG